rnacentral:rRNA from 1 species
UACGGAGGGUGCGAGCGUUGUCCGGAAUCACUGGGCGUAAAGGGCGCGUAGGCGGUUUGUCGCGUCGGGAGUGAAAUCCACUGGCUUAACUGGUGGCUUGCUUUCGAUACGGGCAGACUGGAGGUAUGCAGGGGAGAACGGAAUUCCUGGUGUAGCGGUGAAAUGCGCAGAUAUCAGGAGGAACACCGGUGGCGAAGGCGGGUCUCUGGGCCGGUACCGACGCUGAGGAGCGAAAGCGUGGGGAGCGAACAGG